rnacentral:rRNA from 1 species
AUUGAACGCUGGCGGCAGGCCUAACACAUGCAAGUCGAACGAGUGGCGGACGGGUGAGUAAUGUCUGGGAAACUGGCUGAUGGCGGGGGAUAACUGCUGGAAACGGUAGCUAAUACCGCAUACCAUCGGAUGUGCCCAGAGGGGAUUAGCUAGUAGGUGGGGUAACGGCUCACAAAGGCGACGAUCCCUAGCUGGUCUGAGAGGAUGACCAGCCACACUGGAACUGAGACACGGUCCAGACUCCUACGGGAGGCAGCAGUGGGGAAUAUUGAGCAAUGGGCGAAAGCCUGAUGCAGCCAUGCCGCGUGUAUGAAGAAGGCCUUCGGGUUGUAAAGUACUGUCAUCAGGGAGGCGUUACCCGAAGAAGAAGCACCGGCUAACUCCGUGCCAGCAGCCGCGGUAAUAC